rnacentral:rRNA from 1 species
UAGGACGAACGCUGGCGGCGUGCCUAACACAUGCAAGUCGAGCGAGGAGAUCCUUCGGGAUGAUCCUAGCGGCGGACGGGUGAGUAACACGUGGGCAACCUGCCUCAUAGAGAGGAAUAGCCUUCCGAAAGGGAGAUUAAUACCUCAUAACAUUGCAGUUUCGCAUGGAACAGCAAUUAAAGGAGCAAUCCACUAUGAGAUGGGCCCGCGGCGCAUUAGCUAGUUGGUGAGGUAACGGCUCACCAAGGCGACGAUGCGUAGCCGACCUGAGAGGGUGAUCGGCCACAUUGGGACUGAGACACGGCCCAGACUCCUACGGGAGGCAGCAGUGGGGAAUAUUGCACAAUGGGGGAAACCCUGAUGCAAGCAACGCCGCGUGAGUGAUGACGGCCUUCGGGUUGUAAAGCUCUGUCUUCAGGGACGAUAAUGACGGUACCUGAGGAGGAAGCCACGGCUAACUACGUGCCAGCCGCUGC